rnacentral:rRNA from 1 species
GACGAACGCUGGCGGCGUGCUUAACACAUGCAAGUCGAACGGAAAGGCCCUACUUUUGUGGGGUGCUCGAGUGGCGAACGGGUGAGUAACACGUGAGUAACCUGCCCUUGACUUUGGGAUAACUUCAGGAAACUGGGGCUAAUACCGGAUAGGAGCUCCUGCUGCAUGGUGGGGGUUGGAAAGUUUCGGCGGUUGGGGAUGGACUCGCGGCUUAUCAGCUUGUUGGUGGGGUAGUGGCUUACCAAGGCUUUGACGGGUAGCCGGCCUGAGAGGGUGACCGGCCACAUGGGGACUGAGAUACGGCCCAGACUCAUAGGGGAGGCAGGAGUGGGGAAUAUUGCACAAUGGGCGGAAGCCUGAUGCAGCAACGCCGGGUGCGGGAUGACGGCCUUCGGGUGGUAAACCGAUUUCGCCUGUGACGAAGCGUGAGUGACGGUAAUGGGUAAAGAAGCACCGGCUAACUACGU